rnacentral:rRNA from 2 species
CCUCAUGGCGGCGGACUACACAUGCGAGUCGAGCGGAUGACAGGAGCUUGCUCCUUGAUUCAGCGGCGGACGGGUGAGUAAUGCCUAGGAAUCUGCCUGGUAGUGGGGGACAACGUUUCGAAAGGAACGCUAAUACCGCAUACGUCCUACGGGAGAAAGCAGGGGACCUUCGGGCCUUGCGCUAUCAGAUGAGCCUAGGUCGGAUUAGCUAGUUGGUGGGGUAAUGGCUCACCAAGGCGACGAUCCGUAACUGGUCUGAGAGGAUGAUCAGUCACACUGGAACUGAGACACGGUCCAGACUCCUACGGGAGGCAGCAGUGGGGAAUAUUGGACAAUGGGCGAAAGCCUGAUCCAGCCAUGCCGCGUGUGUGAAGAAGGUCUUCGGAUUGUAAAGCACUUUAAGUUGGGAGGAAGGGCAGUAAGUUAAUACCUUGCUGUUUUGACGUUACCGACAGAAUAAGCACCGGCUAACUCUGUGCCAGCAGCCGCGGUAAUACAGAGGGUGCAAGCGUUAAUCGGAAUUACUGGGCGUAAAGCGCGCGUAGGUGGUUUGUUAAGUUGGAUGUGAAAGCCCCGGGCUCAACCUGGGAACUGCAUCCAAAACUGGCAAGCUAGAGUACGGUAGAGGGUGGUGGAAUUUCCUGUGUAGCGGUGAAAUGCGUAGAUAUAGGAAGGAACACCAGUGGCGAAGGCGACCACCUGGACUGAUACUGACACUGAGGUGCGAAAGCGUGGGGAGCAAACAGGAUUAGAUACCCUGGUAGUCCACGCCGUAAACGAUGUCAACUAGCCGUUGGAAUCCUUGAGAUUUUAGUGGCGCAGCUAACGCAUUAAGUUGACCGCCUGGGGAGUACGGCCGCAAGGUUAAAACUCAAAUGAAUUGACGGGGGCCCGCACAACCGGUGGAGCAUGUGGUUUAUUCGAAGCAACGCGAGACCCUA